rnacentral:rRNA from 1 species
CAAUAGCGUAUAUUAAAGUUGUUGCGGUUAAAGAGCUCGUAGUUGGAUCUCGGCGAGCAGGGGGCGGUUCGAUGUUCGUCGUUACUGCCCCAUUUGCUCGUGUGAUUGGCGGAGGCUGCGGGGUGCUCUUCGUUGAGUGUCCCGUGGUGCCGUCGGGUUUACUUUGAAAAAAUUAGAGUGCUCAAAGCAGGCUUCACACGCUUGAAUAUUCGUGCAUGGAAUAAUGGAAUAGGAACUCGUUUCUAUUUUGUUGGUUUUCGGAAAUUGAGUUAAUGAUUAAUAGGGACAAUUGGGGGCAUUAGUAUUCAGACGACAGAGGUGAAAUUCUUGGACCGUCUGAAGACUAACUACUGCGAAAGCAUUUGCCAAGAGUGUUUUCAUUAA